rnacentral:rRNA from 1 species
AGAUUAAACUGAAGAGUUUGAUCCUGGCUCAGAUUGAACGCUGGCGGCAUGCCUUACACAUGCAAGUCGAACGGCAGCGCGGGGCAACCUGGCGGCGAGUGGCGAACGGGUGAGUAAUAUAUCGGAACGUACCCUGGAGUGGGGGAUAACGUAGCGAAAGUUACGCUAAUACCGCAUACGAUCUAAGGAUGAAAGUGGGGGAUCGCAAGACCUCAUGCUCCUGGAGCGGCCGAUAUCUGAUUAGCUAGUUGGUAGGGUAAAAGCCUACCAAGGCAUCGAUCAGUAGCUGGUCUGAGAGGACGACCAGCCACACUGGAACUGAGACACGGUCCAGACUCCUACGGGAGGCAGCAGUGGGGAAUUUUGGACAAUGGGCGCAAGCCUGAUCCAGCAAUGCCGCGUGAGUGAAGAAGGCCUUCGGGUUGUAAAGCUCUUUUGUCAGGGAAGAAACGG